rnacentral:rRNA from 1 species
UACGAAGGGGGCUAGCGUUGCUCGGAAUCACUGGGCGUAAAGCGCACGUAGGCGGAUCUUUAAGUCAGGGGUGAAAUCCUGGAGCUCAACUCCAGAACUGCCUUUGAUACUGGGAAGCUCGAGUCCGGGAGAGGUGAGUGGAACUCCGGGUGUAGAGGUGAAAUUCGUAGAUAUUCGGAAGAACACCAGUGGCGAAGGCGGCUCACUGGCCCGGUACUGACGCUGAGGUGCGAAAGCGUGGGGAGCAAACAGG